rnacentral:rRNA from 1 species
ACGACUCUCGACAACGGAUAUCUCGGCUCUCGCAUCGAUGAAGAACGUAGCGAAAUGCGAUACUUGGUGUGAAUUGCAGAAUCCCGUGAACCAUCGAGUCUUUGAACGCAAGUUGCGCCCGAAGCCAUCAGGCUAAGGGCACGUCUGCCUGGGUGUCACGCAU